GAGGCGGCCGCGGCGGGCGGCGCCCGGGAAGGGCGGCGGGGCCGGGGCCUGCGGCGGCCGGGGGAGGGGACCCGAGCGGAGCUGGUGGCCGAGGGAGCCCCGAGCUAGACCGGCGGCGGCGAGGCUGAGCGAGGGCAUCCCUGCCCCGCGCUGGACCCCGGGAGGCAAGAGGAAUUUCAAAGCAGACCAAGCAAUAAUAAUUUAGAAAUGGGGUAAGAUAUCUCAGAGUACAUCAUGAGAAACCCUGGGCUGGAAGAAGCACAAGCUGGAAUCAAGACUGCCGGGAG